rnacentral:lncRNA from 1 species
UGAAUAAAGAUGCUGCAUUUUAAACAAGUAUGUGGCUUAUAUAAGAAACGAAAGAUCAAAUCUACCACAAAACGAACCAGAAUAUGCGAAUGCAAGGAGCAAAAUAAAGUCACUACCUUGCAUAUUGGGCGGUGUGGAUCUCGAAGAUUGACAAGUAAGUUGUCACUUUUCAAAUCAAAGUGUACUAUCUUCUUUUCAUGCAGGUACUCCAUUCCGAAUGCCACAUCCAUUGCAAUCAUGAGGCGCUUGCGCCUGUCCAAACUCCUGAUAAAAUUAAAUCUGUGUCAGAUUUUUAUCCCAAUUGAAAAUUACGGACAACAAAAUGCCAAGCAAAUACAUUACUUCUCAUUUUUCUGCAAGGCAUUUCUCAGAGAGCCGUUAACCAUAUAUUCUGUCACUGUUGCCACAGAACCUCCGGGUCCGUCAAGCACAAUCCCAUAGAAAGCUACCACAUUGGGGUGGUGCAAGUCAGCAAGCUUGAUAGCCUCAUUCCAGAAAUCAUCUCUCUGUUUGAAUACAUAAACCACAACAUACGAAUUAAGUAAAAGAGUUAUGAAUGAAUGAAAGCUAAAAGUUUUAGAAACUAGUGUAACAAAAAGACAAACCAUGCGCUCUUGUUCUGAAGGCUUCCCGGAAAAACACCUAUCAUUGAUUCUUUUGAUUGCAACAUCAGUGCCCCUCCAUUUUCCAUGAUAAACGGUACCAAAAGUUCCAGAACCUAAUUCUCUCAUCUCUUCAAGGUCACUGUUCUUUAUAAUCUGCCAAAAGAAAAAGAAAUCGGUCAAUGGUACAUGGUAAUAUCACAACAUCACAAUACAUACAUAUUAAUGGAAACCAAAUUUUCACCUGCAACCGGCCUAGGCCAUCUGCUACUGGAAAACCAAGAUUUGGCUUAUCUGCAAAGUUGGAUUUGACAUCCUAAAAUAGGAAGCGGAAGUUAGAAGAUAAACAACAGGAGAGCCUAGAAUAUUUUUUCAGAGAGGGAGAGAACACGUACAAAUAAAAAAAAAAGGUCGUACCCAGUGCACAAGGCUCCCGCUUUACGCAGGGUCUGGGAGAGGUGAAUGUCGGCUAGCCUUACCCCCAUUUAUGGAGAGGCUGCUCCCAAGUCUCAAACCCGAGACCUACUGCUCAUGGGCGAAGGCACUUGCCAUCGCACCAAGUGCGACCUCUUAGAGACACGUACAAAUAAUAAAAAAAAUUCACACAUGUACAUAUAUGAAUUCUUAAAUACCUCACUUUCUGUUCUGUUUUGCAUCCCUGCAGCAUUGUUUUGAACCUCUUCAUUUCGAUUGGUUGCAUAAGCAGACUCAUUUUUAUCAUGCAAGUAAGAAUCUGAUGGCGUAGAUGACUGAAAAACACAAGCAGCUACUCCCUCAGCAACAGCUUGAAGUUCUUGCUUUAUUUGUUCUUCUGCUGAUCCUACGACAAAGAAGCAAAAUAAUAAGAAAAGUUCAUAUGAAAUAAUUAACUUAUCUAGAAAGAUCAUCACUUAACUAACCUUUGGACGACGGGGCAUGCUCUGAACUAAGAUCCCUGUUCAAAUUGCCUGGUGGCUGUUGGCCUCCAUCGUCCAUUCGCAUUUCUGUAUAUGGUUCUUUUCUCAAUUGUAUUUUGGUUGGCUUAGGAGGCAAUUGAGUAUCCUGGCACAAACUCCAAGGAUCUUGAUUGCUGAACAGUGAGUUUGAGGAGUCCUGGGCACCAAAACCAUUCGAGGUAAUACCUUCCCUCUCGUUAGAUACCAUCUUGGGCUGCAAUCUCAUAUUCUCAUCCUUCCAUUCAGGAGGAGGUUGAAUUCCAUCAGUGAGAUGGGUCAAAACAACAGGGGUUCCAUAAUUAGAUUCGUAAGAAUCACAAGGAUAUAUUCCAACUCUUGAUUGCAGAUAAGCUUCAGGAUUUCCCCAUAUAGAUUGUUUUCCUAAAUCAUAGAAUUCUGCUGGCUGUGAACUAUACCCAUGUGAGACUUCGGCAGAGGGAGAAGCUAGUACUUCGGUCGGGUUAAAGUGAUUCCUGCCUAAUUUGUCAACGAGGUUAUCCACAGCCACCUCUCUACCCCCAACUUGUGCUGUUUUGUGAUCAACGUUGUCUUCCAUUCUAGGUAUAUCCCAAGGUGAUUUACCAUGCUCCUUGUUAACAUAAAUCUCAGUGGGAUUUAUCCUGAGUGUUUCCAUCCUCCCGUCGAUUUGUCUCAAAUUAUCAUAUGCAGUUGGAGAUUCACGAACCAGGCAUUCUGAAGUUUCAACAGGUGCACCUCCAACAAGAGGUACAUCUUGAUUAAAAGGAUCGUUACCUAAAUUUUCCUGUUUAACCUGGUAAUGAAAUGGUGUUGGAUGUAGUUGAACAACAUCGUCUUGACAAUGCUUAGGAAUACUGACCAUGAAUGCACCAUCUGGUGAUUGCACAUCACCUCCUCUCUGGAUAACGCCCUGUGGAGAUGAAAUCUGAGAGAGGCAAGUCACAUCUGAAUGAGAUGUUACGAGAAGAGGAUCUACUGGAAUUUGAACCCUAGGGCGAGCCUCAACUCCUUGGCCAAAAUUACCUUCUCCCUUGUUCAUCGGCUGAGCUCGCAAAUUCUCCUCCAGCCGAGGACUAUAAUAAGUUGGACUUGAAUCAGAUACCGGGCUUCCGCCAAUGUCUCUCUGAACCUGUACCACAGUAUCAGAAUGUGCAUGAGGCAAUGCUAUCUGACACAUAUAACAGUCCUGGAACUUUGUGGACUUCUCGGGAUACACUUCCUGUUGGUGAGAUACCAAUGCAUCAUGGUAAAUCACAUGCUCUGGUGAUUGAACUUGAUGCCAUCCAUAAGCACCUCCUGCUGUUGUUGAGGGUACUUGAACCUGAUAGGAAUUAUAGCUUUGUUCAGCAGGAAGCUGGACGACCUUGGGAACAAAGGUACUCUCGCCUACAUACUUAUCCAACCGGGUCUGUUGUGGAUGGAUCAAUGGCUGAAGCACACUUGGUCUUAUAUUAACAUGAGAAGUCGAGGGAGUCAUUGUCAUGUGCACUGCAGGAAUGAAGUGAUGCGGGGUGAUGCCAGCAAUACUAUCACCGUAUUGCUGUUUGGUGAAUACAGGACCAGCAGUCCCCAAUAGGUGAGGACUUGGGAAACCCAUCUGAGGAGGAAGCUGGAGAUGGUCUGCCCGUGUAACAAAAUCUUGGCGAGGACCAACAUAAGUUUGCAGAUAAGGAGCAGUAGAUGAAAUGCCAAUUCCAGGUUGCUGCUGUGAUACUGUAACAGGCACAGAUCUUUCUAAUUCACCUUCCGGAUGAGAAGAUGGUGUUUGGGGAGGCCCAGACUUAACCACAGGAAUGACCAAUGGAAUUGUAGAAACUUCAGAAUAAAUUGUAGGCUUAGGAUCCACAAAUACCAGCCUUGUACUAGCAUCAUGAGAAGUAGAUGAAUCCCUUUUCGGUGAUAACUUGCCCGGUGAUGGAAGUCCAGUAUUGUCCCCCUGACCAGGAACUGAGUUAUCAACAACAUCAGUUCCACUAAAAUCAGAAUUUUGAGUUGAAGUUGCACUUGCAUUGCUCUCCUUCCUCACGAUACCAACACUCACCCCAUCCAUAAUCCCAUUGACAGCAUCAACAUAUCUCUGCUCACUAUUAUGUAAAUCCCCAAUUUGUACGACACCAGAUGGAUCAACUUCAGAAGCAGAAAACAAAAAUACCCUCAACUUUGCUGAACCAUCUGGAGAUCUCUCGACCAACUUCCCAUAUUCAUCCUUCAUAUUGUCAAGAUCAUCAGCACAUGAAACCGACACCAGUGCAUCGAGAUCCUCAUCGGGGAGCUGGUAUUUAAUGACCACAGGUUGCCCAUAUGUAUCCACCAUCUUCUGCACUAGCUCAUUGAAGCUCACAUCUCUCCGAACACUAAUCCUUGUCUGCCCUCCAACAUACCUCAACAUUCCAUCACUUGGUCUGGGCAAAAUCUUUCCGCCAAAGCUGCACAGAAGCUUUAUUUUCUUCCCAUACACAGAAUCUUCCCCACCGUCAUCACUUGCUUGUUCAGUCCCACUCCCACGACUGCCCAAAUUGGCAUUGUAACCAUAUCCCGAUGUCAAAUCAUUCCCAGUCUGAUCAGCAACAUUGCCACUGACCUUAUUGCCUAAAUUGGGAUUAUAACCGAACCCAGCUGCCAUAUCAUUAACUCCAUGAUCUAGACCACUGCCAGCACUCCUAUUAAACAUAUUCGAACUACAGUCAGAAGGCCUAGAAGCAGUUGUUGUAGUAUCAGAGCUUACAAGAUCAACAUCAUUUCCGCCGACCCGACUGCCCAAAUUAGGACUGUAACCAAUUCCAACACCAACGCCAGGGUUCACACCUGGAUGUCCCACCGGCACAGCAAUGCGGGGGCCAGGGCACCACGGGGGCACCCCCGACACGGCAUUUCCAUACCCUAGGCCAACAUGCCCAGCCUCCGAGGCAACCGGUGCUUGGUAAAAAACAGGUAUUGAAUGAGGGCUAUUAACUUCACGAACUGGGUGGCUGGGGAAAAAUCCAUCGGGGUUUCGAGCAGCUGUAGUAGCCUGCGCAAUGCGGGGUUCUUCGGCCACAGUUCGAGCUACAUUUAACUGUCUCAGUUCUUUGGGAAACGAAUUUUGAUCAAACGCCAUAUCUACAAUUAAUUAAAAAAAAAUUCAAAAUUCAAUCAAGGGUCUGCAAAAUCAAUCCUAAAUAAGAAAACCCACGAUCAAAAUUCGAUAAAGCUAAAAUCUUUUCAUCUAGAUUGCGAUAAGCUAAGGUCUUUUCAUCUGGGAUUUUCAUUUUGUUAAUUCUAAUUUAAGUACUGAAGCUUUUCUAAUCAUCUGCUAUAAACCCUAGCCAGAUUGCACCAAACUAUAACAAAAUUUUACAGCUUUAUAUCCAAAACAGGGGACAAUAAACACAAAUAAUUGAACAAAAACACACACACAGAGAGAGAGAUUAAGUACCAGAUUGAAACGUUGGCGUUUGGAGGAGAGAGAGAGUGUGUGGAAGAGAUAAGAUGGAGGAGAAGAAAAAACACAGAGAGAGAGAGAGUCCGAGUCGGUGGAGUGCAGUUUCCAAACUCCGAAGGAAUCAAAGCUCACAGUGACAAGCGUCCCCUUAGCAGCUCCUUGGCACUUUCUCGCUCUAAAAAUCUGGUCCUUUUAUUGUUCCAUCCAUCGUUGAAUAUUUUCCGUGGUGGGAUUUUAUUUUCUCGGGAAAAUGAUGUGUUUGUGAGGAAAAUGGCAGAGUGGCUGAAGAGAAAAAUUAUGGUUUUUGGUUUGAAGUCUUGGAGAAGAGAGAAGAGAGAAGGUGACGGGGGAAGCCACGUGGAAUGUUUCAUGCAAGAUUAUGAUUUAUCAGUAAAAAAGUGUAGUAUUAUGUGUUGUUGUUGGGAACCUAGGAGUACUUUAUUUUUGAUAGUGACAUAUGCAAAUAAUAUAUAAACAUAUAUAUAUAUAUAUAUAUUUUUUUUUUGAAUUUAAUGGCCUUAUCGAUGAUUCUUUAAUAUGUCGAAAAUAUAAUCUGGUAUAUUAAGUAUUAUGAUACAAAUAAUUAAAUAUUUAAAAAUAUUUUAACUAUUAAUAUAAUGAGACUUGAUAUACCAAAUUAUAUAUUUAGUGGGCUUAAAAAUUUAUCGACAUUGUGGCAAGGUAGGAGAAGACAAAUACAAAACGAAAAUCUUGGACGGUCCUUCAAAUACUACAUUAAAUUAUACUAUGCAUACAACAUAUUAUUUAAUUAAUAAUUUAUGAUAGAAUUGUUGGUAGUAAUUUCGUAUCUACUUAUGGUUACUUAUUUUAACUGCAAUCAUGCCAUUUUAAUCACAACUUAAUUGAAGCCUUAACUUCUUAUUUUUGUUCGUGAUCAAUCUUUAAUUACUUUGAUCGCAUGAUCAUGGUCAAUAUAAAUCAUGAUUGUUUUACUAAUUAGGGUUUCAAUCGUUCAAUUUUAUUUAAUUUUUUGUUAAUACAAAAAGUAAUGAAUAUUAAACACAUGCCAUUAGAAAAUUAAAAAAAGAUAAACAUAAGUUAUGAGUUUAUGUUAUAGCAUUACCACUGUUUUAAAAAUUCUGCCUAGUGCUAUCAAGGUCAUGUCUAGGCUCUGAACGACAAGCGACCACUUUGAUGAUUCAUAGACGAUUGAAAAUUAUGAAAAAACGCCUAGACUUGUUUAAGUAACUAUUCAUACUUAAGAGUAAAUUAUUAAAAGAAAAAAUGUAUGUCUACAUUCGACGAUAGAACUUACUGUAAUUCUUAUGAACUAAAGUAUUUACAGUAAGAAAUAAUUAAGUUAAUGCAUGCCAUAGAUUGUUGUAUACUAUAACUUACCGUAACUUUUUAUUUAUCCCGAAAUUGCUAACUUCUUUCCUGGUCUGAAUAGGGUAACUUCACAAUAAUUGGAUAAUUCUUGGUCCACUAUAUUUUUCUGGAUUCAUAUCGACCGUUUGAAGGACAUUUUCGACUUUCAUCGAAUCGGUGGGUGAUGACACAUCAUCAAAACUGGAAUUGCGAUCCUCUGAAUUUCUGUGUUCGAGAUUAUAUAUUCUGAGAAAUAAAACUAUAAGAAAUUUUAUUUGAACUUAUAUAAUCUCUUUCAAACUUUAAAUAUGAAUUGUCUUUCUUACUCUAUUGCAUAAUUACCGUCAGGUACAAGAUUAAAUGAACAAUAAAACCAAAAUUUAUCAAUAGACCCAUAUAUACCCAAUCAUCAAUCUACUUCUUGGUACCAUCUGGGAAUGUGUCGCGCCUUCAUCGCACUAGCUCGAUGUUACUUAUGAGCUUUUAUAUGCUUAUGUUAUUGUUUAUGGAUUCGAAGCAACCAAGGAUUCUUCAAACUUCAGAACACAUGAAUGAAAUGCUGAUUCAACGGACCAUGUGAAACUUUUGGAUUUUGUACUAAAUAUUGGAGGGAUUGGCUGAUCCAAUUUUGAUCAUUUGCAAAAAAACGCAUACUGAUUGAACAAAAAAUAAAAUAAAAACAUAUGGGAUUUAAAUAUUUAAUUUUUUUUAAUCAUCUAUAUGGGAUUAAGCAAAAUCAACAGAUGAGAUUAAUUAAAACAGAUAUGGGAUUGAGCAAAAUCAGCAAAUAGAAGGAUUACGCAUGAGACAAAUAUGUGGGAGAUAUUGUUGUCUUUAUGCCUUGAAUGAGUUUCAAAACACGAUUUUGGUUUUUUAUUUUUUAUAUGGGUGUAAAGAUAAAUUUAUGUAUCAAAUUGUGUUUGUGAGGGUAAUUUAGAUAGUAAGUUUGGGUUUAAAGAUAUAUUAAUAAUUUAGUUAAAAAUAAUAUGGGUGGAGGGAGUAAGUUGAAUGUAAAAAAAUGUUGUAUGGAUUCAAAUAAAAUUUCUAAAACUAUUCAUUUUAAACUCUUAUUAUCACACUAACUCACUGCACACAAAUAAAGCAUCUGAAUCUCUCAUACUAACAAUCCAAAUCCCUUAAUUCUUGGCUUUCUAACACCAGAGAUUCCGAUAGAUUUUCAAUUCUCAAAACUGGGAGGAUAUGAGAUAUAUUUUCCUUGUUUUUUAUAAUUUUUUAAAGGUAUAAAAAGUUCAACAUCAAAGAGGAAUAAAUCUUAAUUUAUAAGAAAAGGUGUGACAUCCGACAUCGCCCAGGGGAGUUGAUCAUGUACCUUAUAUGUAUAUUCCCAUCUCUACCUAGCACGAGGCCUUUUGGGAGCUCACUGGCUUCGGGUUCCAUCAGAACUCCGAAGUUAAGCAAGUUCGCACGAGAACAAUUCUACGAUGGGUGACCCACUGGGAAGUUGUCAUCUGAGAUCCUAGAAACAAAAACCGUGAGGGCGUAGUUGGAGCCAAAAGCGGAUAAUAUCGUGCUACGAUGUGGAACGGGUCUGGGAUGUGGUGGACCUCGGGCCGGGAUGUGACAAAAGGAAAGAGAAAAUAAUAUGGAAACUAACAUCAGCUAGUCUUUUACUUGUUUGGAUGAGGUUGGCCCAAAUUCUUUGCUUGAUAUUAAAACAAAAAGUAAAUUAAACUUCCAUACGCGGUUUCAUUAUUCUUUUUAAGAUUGACUAAAAUUCAAGAAAGAAACAUAUAUUUUGGGUAAAGAAUGAAUGUUAAAAAAGUUAAGCAUUUUGAGUUACGACUUUGUGUCUCACAAAUCACAAACAUGUUCACCAUUGAGUGUUAUGUGGUUUGAUUGGAAGGAAGGCAAUUUCUAUGAAAUUGAAGAAACUUGCACCAAACAGGUUUCGAGAAUUAAUCCUAAUUUUAACACGCAGAGAACUAACCUUAUUUCAAUAGAUAAGGAAUCCAAGUUCUUCUGCUAAACUUUAAGGCAUAAAAUACUAAAUAUAACCUUACAUAUUAAAAAAAAAACCAAAUUAACUUUUCCAAAAACAUGAGCACGAUGUAGCAAUAUUCCAAACCUAUCAAGCGGCAGUAUGUGUUGGUAACUUUUCGCGUAAAGUAGCUUUAUUAUUCUGGACCUUGACAUUUUUCAUCUAAGUAUUUACCACCGAAAGGCUCAGCACCAAAUUAACGAUAUUAGUCAAACAAAUUCGUGUCGGUAUUAUAAAAGUACACUAACUAACCAAUCGAUAUUACAUCAUGCUUAUGUGAUUCUGGUAUCUAUGGCGCACUGAAAGUCAGGUAAAAGAAAGAGAUCUGUAUAGUACUUGGCUCGAUCGUCUUUAGCAAGUAGAUAAUCCUACCCCUGUUAAGUUGUCGUUCCUCCAAUAAGCAACAAGGACGUGAAACCCUACAUUUUUUACUAUAUGUAUCCUUCCAUGUUUGAAACACCCUAAUCAUUUUGCUAUAGAUAAUAGAGGUGUGACAACGAUAAGCAUCCCAGUACGUAGUGAAGAAAAUGAGUUUCAGAAUCUGUCGUGUUUGCAUGGGCUAAUUGGUCCUGGUCGGCCAUGCUUUGUCGGUUUUAUGCAGAUUGAUUCUUGUCAUUCAUGUUUAUAAAGACGGAUAAUUGAACACGACUAACUCUAACAAUUCUCGAGAAAAUAAUUGAUUAAUUGUGGGAUUGUGUGAGAUGGAAAGUAGACCUCAACUUGCAUUGUUUUAUUUAUAACAUGUGCCCGCGCGCGCGCAAUAUGCCCUAUUGGCUGCAGCGUAGAGAUAAAUUUAUAGUCCCAAACAGUUAGGACAGUAGUAGGCCAAUAGAGGAUAAAGAAGUGGUGAAUAAACAACUGGCACCACAUGGAUGGAGACAGUAUAGUUCCCUUGUGGGAGAAAUCAGAACAUAAUUAGCAAACUAAUCGGUAGUGUAAACAGUAAUUCAGCUAGCAUAGAUUUCUCCUGAUCUGUACAUUUGACCAAUCCUAGGCUCCUAGCUAUCUAGUAAAUCUCAUGUUGAUGAAUCCGAUGAUGUUCAAUAUUACAACAAACGUAGAAGAAGGAUCAACAAAGUGCAAGUGCAUUUAAUUAACUAAUUGCUAUUUAUAUGUUUAAUGAGAAAUGUUAAGGAGACUCUCAAAAGUAAAACUAUUUGUUAACUCUAUGUCAUCUCAUGUUUUUGAUACAAUGUUUUAUAAUAUUGACACGGAAAUUGACGUUAAUUAAAUUGUCAACUGUGAGAUGACAGAGAUUUCAUCAAGAAUUAAUCUCACUUUGAGAGAAAAUCUCCUGAGCAUUUUUCAUGUUUAAUUACUAGGUUAGGAAUAUUUAGGAAGGUCAUGAUCUAAUGAACAGUUGAAUAUCAGAGUGCGGAACAAACAAGAAGAACAAAAUAAUAAGAAUUUUAUUAAACUAACUGAAUGCCGAAACGGCUACAAAAACCCUAACAAGCUACAUUGUGAAUAACUUAUUUCGAAUGAAUAACAAAUCACUCUAUUUAUAAUAAACUAACCAUAAACCCUAAUGCUAACGGGCUAAGCCCAGAAAACAAAAUAUUAAAGUAAACCUAAAUACUAAUAUUCUACAACACCCCCCGUCAAACUCAUGGCGGUAUACGACAUGGGUUUGCAAACAAGCAGAUGCGGACUGGCUCUGUUAGGCGGACAGACAGACAGGCAGGCUCUGCCGCAACGCGGACAGACAGACAGGCAGGCUCCGCAACGCGGACAGACAGACAGGCAGGCUCCGCAGCAACGCGGACAAACAGACAGGCAGGCUCCGCAACGCGGACAGACAGACAGGCAGGCUCCGCAACACGGACAGACAGACAGGCAGGCUCCGCAACACGGACAGACAGACAGGCAGGUAUGCAAACUUGACUUGACUUGACUUGCGAACUGGUGAACUUGCGAACUUGACUUGACUUGAUUCUUGACUUGACUUGACUGGCAAACUGGCUAGAGUUGAGAGUAUGGAAAGAACCCGUCACUAAACGGACGAGGUUUCCAUAUCUCAAUUAUACCAACAAACAACGAAAACAAUUCCAAACAAGGCAACCAACAAUUCUUGCGGGCCUAAAACAAACUUAAACCAUAUUUUUGACUUUUGCCCGUGUGGGCCUAAAAAAAAAACUCCAAACAAUUUUUUUCUCUUCUCUUUUUUUUUUUUUUUUUUUCCUCUCCUUUUUUUCUCUCUUCUUCUUUUUUCUUUCCUUUUUCUCUUUUCUGCUGGGCUUCUUCAGAACUGCAGCAACAUGUUUCUUGGUCUUGUGCGGCGGUGAGUUCAUAAGGCAGUGCAACAAGGAUGUGAUGAGCAGCGGCAACCUGGGUGGAUGGUGAUUGGGUGCGCGGGACGACGGCAAGGGAUCUGGGUGCAGGUGCAAGCAGGUUGUUCCGGUGGCAGCGUGGUGGUGAUCUGAUGAAGAAACGAUGGCUGGCAGGUACGGUUCAGGCAGAUGCGAGUGCAGGCUGGUGGUCUGGUGCGAGAUGGUGGUGCGGUGGUUUAAGCAGGCGAGGUGCAGGGUUCAUGUCACAGGGAACUGGACGCAGUGGAAGGUUCAGGUUUUUUGUUUUCUUAUGCAAACUAAACCAACAACAAAAAACUAGCAUACAAACUGACAAAUAACAUACCAACCCGACCAAGCAGAUUAAAUCCCAAAGGAUUGAACCUGCUCUGAUACCAAGUUGAAUAUCAGAGUGCGGAACAAACAAGAAGAACAAAAUAAUAAGAAUUUUAUUAAACUAACUGAAUGCCGAAACGGCUACAAAAACCCUAACAAGCUACAUUGUGAAUAACUUAUUUCGAAUGAAUAACAAAGCACUCUAUUUAUAAUAAAUUAACCAUAAACCCUAAUGCUAACGGGCUAAGCCCAGAAAACCAAAUAUUAAAGUAAACCUAAAUACUAAUAUUUUCCAACAUGAACUGCCACAUAUUUGGCCGGGACAAAAUCGAAGUAGCUAGCUCUUUCGUUGUUUGACAUCAUCUACCUCAGGGUGCUUGCUUCUUGUUUUGCAGCAGCAGGAAUUGCUUAAUUAUUCGCUGUCAAAGUAUCACGAGUUCUUGCAGAUGUGAGAGAGUAGCAACAUUAACAAGAACGGAUGUGCUCUCCUAUGUUGUUAUGCACUUAAGUUAAAUAUAUUUUUCCUCACAAUUAAUAAAAUAUCAGUCGUAUAAAACCAUUGCUUUAUUUCUUUACAAGGUUUUUAACCAUCCUGGAAAGGCCACCUUUUUUUUUUUUUUAUAAUUAUUAUUUAUUUUAAAUACAAGACAAUUUAGAGUAUGGGCAUUAGCCAUUUAACAUUUUUAGACCCGCCAUAUGCCAUUUAAUAAUUUAGAGUAUGGGAAUUAGCCAUUUAAACUACUCAUGUGCCCCCUCUCCUUCAUUGGAUUGUAGUAUGGGCAUCGUCAUCUUCAUUCACUACUUACGCCCCCUCGUAGUAUGGUCGUCUUCUUCAUUUACUAUUUGCCGUAUCAAAUCUGGGCCUGGGUCGACUACGUACGCGUGCAUGCAUGCAUGCAUUAAUGCGUGAAAAUUGAGCAAUAGAGAAGCUACGCGCGAAUUGCAAUUGUAAUGAACUACACAUGCUGGGAACUUCUGCAAAUCGAAUUGAUGGGGUGAAAUUAAUCAUGCAAACUCAUUCAGAUUCUAUUAAAUUUCUUUAUUAUUUGAAAUUUUCUGAUGAUCCAGUGAUAUAUAAUUAAGUUAUUCCCAAUAUAUAUAUACUUUACAGCAAGCAUUCAUUCCCAAAUUUCCCAGCCAAAAUAUACUUCAGAUUUAACCUAAUUCAGAACUAAUCGUUCGCAAAAGAAAAAAGUUUGCAGAAAAAUAAAUUGAAGGUAAAAAAAACAUAGCAACAUUAGUAACCGUGCCAAUAUAUACACCCCCAUGAAAAUUAAUUAACAAACCAUAUUUACGUUUAUGUGUAUUAUGAAACCCAAUGAUUAAUUAAUUAUUAAGAACGGAUUAAUUGCUGAGGUCUUGCCUUUGGAUCAUACGCUAGCUGUAGGCAGUUAUCUCCUUGGACGCAGGGGGAGAAGCCACAGAGUCCUGCGAUGUUCGAGGCGGCGAAUGCGGUAAUCGGGAGGAGAAUCCCAAGAGCGGGUCAUCCUCGAGGUUGGACUCCUCGUGAUCAAAGUUGAGGGCGUAGCUGAGUGCGUCAUAUUUGAAAUCGGCUGAAUGAUGCCUCCGGCCCGCGCGGCCAUGGCCAUUGCCACGUCCAUGCAUGCGCCCAAUCCAAUUUCUGCACUUGUCUUUCAAUUCUGCAAACUCGUAAUGAUUGUUGUGGUGGUGGUGGUUGUAAUGGUGUUGGGGGUGGUGAUGAUGCCUAGACCGCGAGGACCGGGGAUUAGGGGAGAAUGAGGAGGUUUGCACGAGGCUGACAUUAUCAGCCUCAUGCGGAGUGGGAGGCGCCGUGAGGGCGCCGUGGUGGUGAGCUUUAGGAGUAGGGAAGCAUGGGAUGAUGCAGAGGGAGGAGCGGAGCUUUUGUUUGAGGGAGUUUGGGGAGCAGGGUUCGUGGUGGUUCUCCAUUAUUUUGAUUUGUGUGGAGAGGUUAGGGGUGGUGGUGGUGGUAUUUGUGUUUUUAUUUGGGAGGAGGAGGAGGCCCCGUGGAGAAGGUGCAAUGACGGAUGAGGACACGUAGAUUUCCGGAAUUCAUGGGAUGCUUUUGGGGUUUCUGGUCAUUUGACGUUGUUCAGAGAUUAUCGCUUUUUAGGGUCUUUUUUAUUUUAUAUUUUUUUCCUUUCGAUAAAUCUGAAAACCAUGUUGGGCCAGAAUUUGAAGGUUAAUAUUGUCGUCCAUUUGCAUGACUUAUGGGCUGGGCUCGAAUACAAAAUUGGAAUGUGAGCUUGAACAUAGCAUAGAUUUUAUGGUGUGAUUAGUUUUUCUUGUUGCCCAAUUAAGAAAACUACGUGCUUAUGAGAUGAGAUUUGGUGCCGAUGUGGUUAAGCGAGUUGAUUUUUUUUUUUUUGGUCAAACGAUAAGUUUUGUUAGAUUAGUCAUUGAUGGGGUUCGAACACACGCUAUCAUGUAAGGGCUCAACACAUUUUCAUCAUUGUGGUAAAGAGCCACUUGUGUUAAGCGAGUUGAUUAGGACUGUGUUUUUUUUUGUACAUGAGUUCGAAUUUUCAUUAUUAUAAGUUAAGAUUAGUUUAGAAUAUCACAUUGUUGGACAAAAACAAAGGAAGAUUUGAGUAAUCCAUUUGAAUUUUUGUUUAUUAAUUUUCUUUAAUUUAUUCGAUCUAAGAGCUGAAGAUUAAGAAAAGUAUAUGAAAGAUAAAAAUAAGUGUCUUUUAAUAUUAGUUUGUAUGAUCCUUAGAACCCAUGGUGUGUUCUUCCUCACAUGAUAAGAUCUUUGUCCAUAUCCUUUGUGUAGUAAAAUAUUGUAGAAGUGGGGUUGGGGUUGAUACGUUUGUAUUGUUUAUUGAGAGAAAAUAUACUCACUCCUGACAUUUGUGAUUCUCUACACCUUGUCUUGUUUUUAACUUUGAAAAAGAUUCACUUCUAUUCAAUUUUGAUAUUAUUUAUUGAUAAAUUUGAUCAUUUAUGAUAUAAUUUCUUUAAAUAGUCGAUUUUAUAUGUGGGGUAAGACGCCAUUUGUGUGUACAAUCAAAUUGACUUUCAGGUUAUAAGGACAAAGACGUCUCAUUAUCACAAUGAAUGAGACCACGUGGAUUGGAGAUUGGACUUACGUGCGACCCGAUAAUACCCUCAUAUAAUGCAGCCCGUUCAUUUGUGAGAGUGUCUGACCAUCUAGCUGGUCAGACUGCUCUACUCACAAUUCUGAAAUAAAAUUUAAUAGUUAAAACACCUGUUUCAUUGAAGCCAAACUUUUCCCCCUCUUAAUUCUACUUGAUUCAUUGAAAUAGUGCAAAAAAGAAUGUGCAAAUUCACUACCCUUUUUACCUAAACACAAAAACAGAAGAAAUGAAGUACUCAACAAAACCAUUCACUGCAGCCGAGAAAAGACAUUUUAUUUACUAGAAAGCCCAAUGAAACAUUACAAGAAGAGAUUUGGUUGAUCACGUGGCUCACCCUUGUCCCUUAAUAAGUGCCAGGUUUUCAGUUCAUAGCAACACGCAGCACCACUGUCUCAUUCGACACACACCUCGUGGACUUGUUGGAAGCUUUCGGUUAAGUUGCACUGAAACUCCCUCAACCUUUCCAUCCCAUGUCUCUCACCUUUUCUUUGUUUUGUUUUGUCUCCUCAUCUUUUACUUUUCUUUUGCUCAUUUUCGUUGAAGAAUAUAGCCCCACAUCGAAAACCUGACUGCAGUAAACACUAUUUAUUUUUGUUUUACCAGUAGUAGUAGUAGGCCGUUGAACCGUCUCUGAAACUUUAACGGUUUUCACUGGUACAUAAUUGAGAGGAGAGAGAUGAAGAUGAUUGAUGCAGAUCGUAUAUACAACCAUCAAUGGUAUGGACCCCUCUUUUGUCUGCCACCAUAUUUUGUUUCCAUCUUAUUGUUUAACUUCCCUCUUCUUCUUCUUCUUCAUUUCUUUGGAAAAUAUUUCAGGACCAAGCAGCUUUUCAUGGUGGAAAAACUGUAUCAUUUAUAAGAGAAAUAUAUACAUAUAUAUAUAUAUAUAGAGAGAGAGAGAGAGAGAGAGAGAGAGAGAGAGAGAGCUACACUUGUUUUCUUUGUCGGUUUUGAGUUGUUAUUUGGAGGUUGAAAUUAAUGGCUGGAAUGCUUCCUGGUGUGGAAUGCGCUCGGAGGAGACGAGUCCAUCAGAGCGGAGAGUCACCGUGCGUCGGCGGCAUCCAUGGCAGCACCAGGCGCUCUUCUUUCUGUUUGUAUGCUAGCAACCAUGAAUCUCACCACACCUCCACCUCUUCACUGGUAAUUCUAUCGCUCUCUGUGUUUUUCGCUCUCUCAUUUUCUUGGAAGCAUCCGAUUUUUCUUACCCUCGAAAAUGAAUGAAUCAAACAAGAAUCAAUCGAGGAAAAGAAGAAGAGAGCGCAGAAGGAGAAACGAGAAACUGGAGUGUGAAAAUCGCUGUCCUACCGAUUUAAAUUACAAGCAAAUAUAAUUUUCUCCUGUUGUAUAUGGAUUAUUUUUCAUGAUCAUUGUUUCAAUUUGCAUGUUUGAAUCAUUAAUAACAGUAUUAAUUUAUUGGACACAAUAGCAAAGAAGCAUACUGAACCAAGCAUACAUGGAUGAGAAGCUGGGAGUGGAAGCCAGAGAAGCCAAGGGGAGAUUAGAUGAAAGACUGAGAACACAAAGAAAACCACAACCCAAAAGGUAAUUAAUUUACCAAUAUGUGGUCCGGCUAUGAAACAAAUUGUUGCUGACACAUCAAUAAUGCCUCGAUAUCCAUGUUAUUGAUGCGUUCUUGACAAUAUCAAUGAAACAGUUGUUCCUUCAUGCACAUAAAAUUUCUUAACAAUAAUGGUUCUUGCACUAACAUACGCGACGGGAAUAAAUUUCCUCUCAUUCUUUUCUCCUUCUGCAAUACCUGUUUAUUUUUGUCUCUCGAUUUUCGAUAUGUUUUAACUAUGUGUUUUAUUAUAUUUGUGAUAAAUUUAGGCAUACUAAUGGUGGUAACAAGGGACUGAAAUGUGUGGAUGGAGGAGGAAGAUCAUCUGUCUUGCUUGGGGAGUUGCAGAAAGAAGUUUACGGAGCAAACAAGAGUAGUAGUAGUACAAGUGGGUCAAAGAAGUUCAGCUGGUCAAAGCUGACCUGGAAGUCAUCGGACCAGGAUGAGUGUGCAGUCUGCCUGGAGAGGCUCAGGCCAGGUGAGACCCUGGUGCACCUGCCCUGUGCCCAUAGGUUCCACUCUGGUUGCAUGGUUCCAUGGCUUCACAACAAUGCCCAUUGCCCCUGUUGCAGAAUGGAGAUUAUCUCCUAGUAAUUGUAUUGGUAAUUUGGUAAAUGCAAAUUGUAAAAUAUAGAUUGAGCUUGCAGUUGCAGUUGUAGAGUUGGUUUGAAGUUUGAACAAUUAACUUUGUGGUGCUAAUUGUUUGGUUACAAUAUGUUUUUGUUAAAGUGAAUAGUUGCCAAGUAGUCUUUGUGUGAGUAGAUAGUUUAUGCAAAUUUGUGGGAGAUUAUAAUUCCACACAUUAAUCUUGAUGUAGGACAAGAUAUGGGUCAAUUCCGACGAAAAAAUAUCAAGAAAAUAAAAUGUUUUAGAGUUUGGAAAGAAGAAUUAAAGUUGGGCUAUAUCAGAUUUAAUUAACAUCGCGACAGAAAAAGUAACAAGAAAUAUUAUCGUGCUAGAAUUGAGAGUAAUAUGUCCUUUUUGAAGAGAAUGCAAGAAGAACAAGACUCAUGGUUAUAAUAUGAGCCCGUCAUGUUUACGGCCAUUCGAGGUUGUUUAAACUCCCAAAACAACAUUUUUAAAGUCUAAUAAAACAACCUUUCAUGUCGUUUAAUUUACUAAGACCCUGAGCUUCCCGAGGGGUUGUGUUUGUGUCUUUUUAAGUCGUUUGGCUCCUAAUGUAAUGUAUCAAUUCAAAAAAUAAUCAAACAACCUUUCGAUUUUAUCCAUCUAUGAUGGAUUCCAAAAACCUUGGUUCUUCAAGAUUUACGUUUGUAAUCCUUAUAUGCUCGUGUUGCGUCAAAUCUCUUCCACAUCUUUCGGGAAAAUGCUUGACUAGUUAUAUGUAGCGUUUCUCAUAACAAACAAAUCUCAAUCUGACUUUUAUAAACGAACUUUUUCAGUUUUUAUUUUUGCAAGUCACUUUAGUAUAUGUGAUAGUCUACAUAAGGAAUAACUCUUUAAUUAUUGUAAAGAGUUAAACAUUAUUCCAAAAUUCUCAAUGAUUUCCAAAUUAUUGAACCAACAUGUGAUCUCCAAUACAAAAUUUUAAGAGGUGCAAUCCCUUUUGUGAAUGAAUGUAAUUGCACUACAUAUCACUAUCCAUCCAUCCAACCUCCCCACCUUGAAAUUGAAUAUCAGAUGAGAGAAAAGGCUCCACUCAUGUGACGGGUGGGACAAGAACAGGUGAAUUAUAGGACAGUCUUUGCUGUCUUGGUCGACCUUUCUCUUGUUUAGUGGAAAUCAUUUGUUCUUGCACUAAUCAAAUGUUAAUACCAAUCUUCGCUUCCAAUUAAGGGAGAUCAUGGUGAGAUCAUAACAACUUAAGUCGCGAAAAAGAUGGGCAGUAGUGGAUCCAUGAGUUUUUCGUUAAUAAGUGAGGUCAUAAAAGUUUGGUGCGGUGUUCUUACUUAAGUAUUUUUUUGGUGGGUUUUUUUGGUGCGGUGUCGCUUGAGCCUUCAGAGACUGAGGAACGAGGAUGGAAAUUGAGUGACGUGAGUGAAUUUGGGUGAAAUAGAGGAUAAGGGAAGCGUACUGAAUGGGACACAAACGCAAACCUAAGAAUAGAAAAGCUAGAAUUCACUAGAGAUUGGGAUAAACCCGAAAGAUUUUUUGUUCAUUUAUGAAUCAAUACAUUACACUGGGAGCCAAAUGGCUUAAAUAGACUUAAUUUGACUUUGGGAAGUUCGUAUCAAACCUUGUGAAGUUCAUAGAAAGUCUAAUGAAAUACAAAAAUAUUGAUUAGAUUGAAAAAUGAAAAGUCUGAUUUUAUUACCAACUUUAAAAUGCUGUUUUGGAAGCUGAAACGACAUCAGAUGGUUAAAAUCUGUUAAGGAAUUUUCAAACCUUGUGAAGUUCAUAUCUUGUCCUACAUCAAGGUUUUGGAUAAAAAUAAGAUUUGCAGCCUUGCUUCAUCCUGUUUUGUUUAGCUGUUGAGUUGGCAAAAUCCGAGUCAUUUUCAUUAAACAAGUUUGCCAUAAAAAUGGAGUAACAAGUUAAGACUAAACCAGAUAAAAGAUUCGGUUCUCUCAAACAAGACCGAAAAAAUAUCAAUAAAAUAUAUUCUAUGCUUUGAAGGUGGAAUGUCAUUUUCUCCUAUAAAAAUGAAGCAUGCUAACUUGGAUUUUAUCCUAAUUUGGGUAAAAUCUUCUUCUUUUCCUACCCUAAUCCUUGUUUUUGUGUCACGACUGGCUAGCUGGAGGUCACUAAAGAAUGGACCCAAUUUAGCUAAUUUAUCUUUGUCUUGAUUAUAUAGAUGGAUAAAUGAUUAGGCAAGGAUUGAUAAACUUUGAUUAAUUAUUCGUUGAUUGAUUGGAGUGACGCAAGAGUCCAAAACUUUUCAAAGUUUUCAAUGUGAUGUGUGACUAAGACAUAACUCGGAAAGGAUGAGCGGCACGAAUAAGGUUUCUUUAUGUCCAAUCAAGACAAUGUCGCGAUCGAAAUUGAGCCGAAAUUACAAGCAGUAUAAAUUUUGAAAAUUAUACAAGUUUUACAGUGUAGGGUUACUAUGUGAAGAAAAAAAAACCACGCUUUUAUAAAACUUUAUUUUUCAGCCCACUCCAGUUUACUGUUUUGUAUUCCUUCAAGUUUUAGUACAUAUUUCCUGGUGCGACAAGAGUUUGUGGCGGUUUUGACGAUCUUGACACAAUGUGGGAAUUCAUAUUUUUUUAUUUUAUAUAUAUCCAUCUUGUGUGGGAUGAGAAUUUAGUCUUACUUCUUGACCAUUUAUCUAUGCUCUGACACUCUCGUAUGUAUAAAUAGGUUCAUAAAAGAAAAUCAAUAAAAAAUAAAAAUAAAAAUAAAAACUUUUGCCAAGGGGAAGGCAGCGAACGACGCCGUUCGGUGGACCAAUUAUUUUCAUUAUUUUGGCACCUUUGCGAAUUUUACCAUUUUAGACUCUUCCCGCAACGGCUAGUUUCCUAGUGACCGUUUUCCCGUCUCCCAAAUUUCAAAUCUGCAAUCGACCUUCAACCCACCAUUAAUCUUCUUCACAUACCGCAACUCCCAGAAAUCUCCUUUCACUUUUCGAAAAACACCCGCAAAACCAAAUCCAAAUCCAAGGCUCUGGCAACUUGUCGAAUUCGAUCUCCGUUAAACCCACUUGGCAAUUCAAAUCAAGGACCCAGAAUUUCAAAAAUGGUAUAUUCAUACGCGCCCGCGUACUACUCCACAAUCCACGACUCCAUGACCUCCCUGUGCAAGUCCAUUCUUCCCUUCAGCUUCAAGAAGCGGCGGUUGCCUGCGGCGGAGCAGAGGCUUUCGAAGCUGCAGUCGGAUAACCUCAAGUGGCAGCAGGACUCUUUCCACCAGAUUCUGAACUUGAUGGGUCUUCACAAAGAAGGCAUCUUGGCUGAGACCGAGGUGUCCGCUUUCCGAUUGCAUUUGCUCGAAACCCUCAUUGCCUCUCAGGUGGCGGAGCACGAACAGCCGGUUAUUCUGAGAGACAAGUUGCUGUUCUUGCAGGUAAAAUGCCAGUCUGCAAUCUCAACUCUUUCCUUUUUUUUUUCAUUUCGAUUGGAUUUUCUUUCUUGGUUUUCUGAGUAACCAAGCAAUGUUUAGGAGCUCUUGUAUGCGAAAUGCAUAUCGGAAGACGAGUACCAUUCUUCGAAAAGGCCGUUGCUGCAGCGAUUAGAGGCACAGGGAGCUGAGAUCGAGGCCAAAGAUAUAAUCGCUUCAGGGUCGCUGCCAGCGAAGGAUCCGAAAGAGAAUACAGAUCAAGAGCAGUGGUCGGAAAUUGACUUGAAGGAUGAGAAAUGCUUGCUAACGAAAGAUAAAGAGGGUUUGAAUUCGAAGAACAAAUCGAAACACAGCUCGGCAGUGAAACAAAUCAAAGGGGCAGCUUCGGUGUUGGGAUUUGUAUCACCUUACAAACAUGGGAAAAACAGGGGAGAAAAGAGCAUAUUCGAUUUGCCUGAUUCGUCAAAAUUCUCUUCUUCCAGCUCUUCUAAGCAUCAAGCAGGAGAUCAAUCGUCGAUUCUUAUGCCGGAAAGCUUGCCACAGGUGCCGGUGAAAGAGAACGGCAGCGCAGAUCGAACAAGGAGGAAACCGUUUAGGAGUCUGUUUCAGAGAGAACAGAAAGAGGGUCAGGGGGAUCAUGCCCACGAAAAUGAACAAACACCUUCGAAAUCGGCCAAAAAGCAAUGGGGUUUUGAUGGAUUCAAGAAAUGGAAGAGGAAUGAGUCGGAGGACGAGACAACUCCGCUGCCGCUAAACGAACGAUCGGAUAGUGAGGCUCACUUGAAGCUUGUUCCAAUCCCCAUGGGUGAAGGGCCAGACACUAAGCUCAUAAAAAGGAGGCUGCUUUCGGAUGGUUCUCCUUCCGAUUUCUUCAUUGACAAGGUUCAAAACCGUAUGAUUUAAUUUCGUAAUUUGCUGGCUUAUAUUUGAAGCAUGAUCCGAAAUUGAAGGUUGUUUUUUUUCUUAUUUUUGUAUGAUCUGAAGGUUUUAGGGGAGAAGAUAAAGAAGGAGCUGUCAAGAAUUCAGUCAGAGCUUUGCGCUUCAAAUCCAAAUCUUCGAUUUACGUAAGCCUUUUGAUGAGUCUUUCUUACAUAUACAUUGGUAUCGAAAAGCAAUCUUUUUGUAUCGAAAACAUACGAGUUUGAUUCUUGUGAUUUGCUCAGGAAUGAACAAAUUGAAGCUAUUUCGACCAGGCUUCCGGUGGACAAGGCUGAUCUGAAGAAGUUCUUUCCCAAGUGAGCAAAUCUUCUCUAACUAAAACCACCGCCCCCUUGUACUUUCUCUCUUAUUUUUCAUUGGAUUUUUGUUUCGUUUUCAGGUCGUGGUGCGAUCGGUAUGGAGAAGUUGUUCUGGACGUGGUGAGGAAAGAGUUCAAGGAGCAUGUUGGGGAGAUGGAGAGCUUGAGAAAUGCGGCAAGAGAGAAACACGGUAUCCACUCAGCGCGAUGGACUGCAUUCCAAGAUGACGAGGAGAAUUGUCACCCGAAUCUCUUUGCUCCGCCGCGAGACAACAACCACAAUUAUACUUCAAAGUUCCAUGAAACCAAUCCGUUCUGUGAUGAUCACAUUCACACCACCCCUAGGAAGCUGAGAUCGAAACCGGCAACUUAUACACAAGAGCAGAACCAGAACCAGAAUCCCUUUUGGAUCCCGGGCACGGCUACUAAUGCGUUUUCGUUGAGUAGCUGCUUAAUAUGUAUUUUGAUUGAGAGAUCGCUUGAUAUGUUGUAUGAACUUUGAGAGAAGAACGCUGUUCUUCCAAGCAUUCAAACUUUAUGUUUGAUUUGUAAAUGUAGGCAAUGUAUUAUCUCCUUCAAUGUUUCGGAACUCGAUUCGCUCCUUGAUUUUUAUUUUCUUAGUUCUUCUCACUCACUAUUUGAAAUCCUCUAAAGGGCCUUCAUGCAAAUAUCCAACACGCGUGUAAUACAAGAAACAAAUCAAUCGAAACAUACGACAUGAUCAUCAGGAGUUGGGGUUACUUGCGAUGCAGGUAAAGUGGUCGAAUUGGAUUGGAAAUCAAGUUAAAAAUCGCAAAUUCGGCAGCAAGAGGAAUUUUUUGCAGACACCUGAACCCCGAGUCGUCCUAACCAGAGACUAUACCUUGACAACAAAACUAGCAAGAUUUAUUCAAGACAUUCAAGUAAAGGCAAAGGAAUCUGCAAGCUUUUGAGCAAAAUGGAAGGUCCGUUACCAAUAAUUCCAGCAAGAAACCCACUAUGUGAAAAAGAUAAAAGAAAAAGCAGAUAACGCUUCACCCCAGUCGUGAAAAGCAAUCAUGCUUAUACACCUUGGGGCGGAUUAAAAGAACUUUACAACAUUACAAAGAACUUAAAGACAUUAUAGCUAUCCUUGGGUUUCAAUCCCUAAAGAACUUCAAGACGUUAUAGCUAUCCUUGGGUUUCAAUGCUCACUGGUCCCCUCGCUCUUAACAAUUAACAAUCUAACUUACUAACGCUAUCGUUUGUCUAAAAAUAAAAGCCAAAAAUACAUAACCAAAAAACACACUAUAAGAUCCCACAUCGCCCACACAGUGAUCCUUAAAUGUAUAUUCUCAUCCCUAUCUAGCACGAGACAUUUUGGGAGCUCACUAGAUUCGGGUUCCGUAGGAACUCCAAAGUUAAGCGAGAAGGAAGCUAGAGCACUCCCAGGAUGGGUGACUCACUGGGAAGUUGCUCGUGUGUUCCCAGAAGGCGUGGUCGGGACCCAAAGCGGACAAUAUCGUACUACGGUGGUGGAGCGGACCUAGGAAGUGGUCCGCCCCGGGCCGGGAUGUGACAAACACCAAGGUAAAAAGGGAAAAUACUGAAAGAAAAAAAAACGAAAAUCCCAGGGUUUGCUAUGUUUGAAGCCUCUUUGUUGAGAUGAAGAUGCCAAUUCAUGCACAUUGAUAUGUAAGUAUCUCGUUCUUUCAAUCACUAUAAAUCCGCAUCAAGGACGGCAGACGCUACAAUAUCGUGGAUUUCGGAAAAAUUCAGAUACAAGUCAGUCUUGGGGGACCAAAACAUGUCCUGGUAGAUGCGAAGAACCAUCUUUAACUAUAUACAUUACUGUGUAGUAUGUACAAUUAAAUCAAAGAGAAGAUAUCUCCGAGUUAGGGACAGAACAGUCGGUGAAACCCUCACGAACAUCUCCUCGGCAAAGCGGGCAAACUCUGUAAGCAGGAAUGAACAGAGAGAAUUUCGGUGAGAAAAAAUACAUGGGGAAAUGAAGGACAAUCAUGAAGGGGGGAAAAACAGAGGAUGGCAAUGACAAUACCCGUGUAUCUCUUUGAGCCACUUAUCAACGCAUGACAUGUGAUACUCGUGAUGGCAGGGAAGAACUCGAAUUUUGUCUCCUUCCUCAUACUCAGCGAGGCAUAUGUAACACCUAUCAAUUAUUAACUCACCAUGAUCAAACAAAUUCAUUAUGCUCCCUACUGAUGAAAUCAUUUAAGUAAAACUUACUGUUCAACAUCAUCCCCGGACUUUGGUUUGUCAACCUUUGUGUGACUUUUAAGAGGAAAACCAUCAACAAGAGAUGCUGGGGCAGGAGCUGAGACCAUCGACAGUGAAAGUGACACAGGUUGGCGGUGAAUCUCAUCCAAAACCUGCACAUCGCACAUUACAACAAAAUUAGGUUUGAUACAUUCAUAAGGUACACAGUAAUCUGUUGUGUAAUAUCUGCCCCUAAGCUUAACCGUCAAACAUAGAUAAAAACUGCGCAAACCAUAUCACAGCCGUUCAACCUAGAUUGGUAAACAUGCAGCCAAAGCCCUCAAAGAGACCUCAAGAAGAAGAAUAUACUAAAAUCAUCGCUGAUUUAAUUACGUUGCUUAAAUACCCUCCUAACUUAAGACAUAUGCAAGAGUGCAGAAAGAAAAUUACCUCAAAUAGAGCUUCGGCGAGCAUGACAAUUCUUGAUAUACUUGCCCGAGUACUAGACUCUUCAGCCAUCAAGAAUGAGCCACAUGAGCACAUGCCACGAGGGUGGAUUCCUGUGGGACAAGAGGUAUUACGCUGGCCAUUAUCAUCAAGGCCAACACGAAGUCUUUCCCAGACCUACAAAGAGUCAUGCAGAUGCAAAUCAAUGAAAAUUACUAGUGGGACCCCAAAAAAUAAAGCUGCUAUAGUUUACGGAUUUCUCCGGCCCGUAAAACAUCUGGAUAUAACACUUCAUAAAGUAUAAAAGAACCUUUGAUGAAUGAUAUAUUUGUAAACCAUGUAAAUGAACAUACACAUAUACAAAAUACAGUUAAGCCCCCAUACUCUCGCAAAUGAAAAAACUCAAUUUUAAGAUCCAAGUUAAGCCACGUGACUGAAACAUCAUAAUAUUUUUUAAUGUUAAAAUCUAUCACCUCAGAUCUAGAAUGUCGCCGUCGUUCACUCGAGUUGGGAAUUCUAUUAGCCCGGUGACCAGAAUCAACUCCAAUUUCAUCAUCAAAGAAAUCACCACUCAAACCAAGCAGCCAUCUGUCAUGAAAUCCCAUAUCCUCGGUAUCAUCAGUAGAGAAAAGAAUGGUUGGUGAAUCAAUAAACCUCCUGGAGCUGCGCCUUGAAAAUGCAUCCCAGAACAGUCGCCUGCCAUUCCUUCUAGCCUCACGAUUACUUGCAUCAGCAUUGCUACUCCUCAAAAAGUUGGAAGAAAUGCUCAUAACAUCAACAUGAAGUACACUUCCAUCUUCCUGGCCUUGUUCCCUAUUGGACACAAGGAAUCCUAAACCAGAAGGUAUUGCCUCCCGAAGGGAAUCAUUUCCAAGUGAGUCGAAAGUCGACGGAGUUUCAGAAACAUUAGCAGAAUCAGUAUCAGCAUUAAAACCCUGUACACCCCUUACGUCAGCCACAUGAUUCUCAACAGACACUUCCUGAGAACGGGAAUUCCGAAUCCCUUGUGGAGAUGAGCUACUUGGAAGCAUAACCUCGGGACAGGUCUCAGAUACAUUCUUGUCUGCUGAAAUGUCAAUGCCAUUGACUGAAUCCACAUUAGCAGAACCAUUCAAAGAGACUGUUUCUGAAGAUUGUUCUUGUCUAAACGAAGUACUAGCGGUAGUACUAUUAUCCCUACAAGAUUGAUCAUGACUAUAAUCGGCACUUACCUGAUGAGGUAUUAGUUCUUUACUUUUGGACAAGCACUUCCCCCGGUUAAUUGUGUCAACACUGCUUAAUCCUUCUUCAACAGUGCUCUCAGAUGAUGAUCCAAUUUCAAUAAUGGGGCAGGUGAACAGUGGUCCACUACUGGAGACCAACGAGGAUCCUUCUCCAGAGUUCCGGACUUGAUUGAUAUCAAGAUCAGAUUGCUCUGCAUAUUUUACACGACACUCAGGUGCGUGAUCUUCCAUCUGCAGGAAAAGUACUGAAGCAAAUCAGUCUCCUUAUGCAAUCUAUAUGACUAUAACUACCAAGUACAAAAUGAUUCACGAAAUUUGAAGGGUAUUGGUAGAAAAGGUCAAAAAACACUAUCAAGGCAUGAAGCAAAUCAGUCUCCAUAUGCAAGCUAUAUGACCAUAACUACCAGGUACAAAAUGAUUCACGAAAUUUGAAGGGUAUUGGUAGAAAAGGUCAAAAUACACUAUCAAGGCAUGAAGCAAAUCCGUCUCCUUAUGCAAUCUAUAUGACUAUAACUACCAGGUACAAAAUGAUUCACGAAAUUUGAAGGGUAUUGGUAGAAAAGGUCAAAAUACACUAUCAAGGCAUGAAGCAAAUCAGUCUCCUUAUGUAAUCUAUAUGACUAUAACUACCAAGUACAAAAUGAUUCACGAAAUUUGUAGGGUAUUGGUAGAAAAGGUCAAAAUACACUAUCAAGGCAUCAAUACAACUACGUAACACCACAGUUCUUUGGCCACCAAAAAAGGUAUUAAACUUACGUUUCUAUACUGUCCAUCAUAAGAGAUGUGCAUUUACUCCCAAAUGAACACAAGUAACACAAGAAUAAAUAACUUCAGUUAUACGCUAAAUAGACUAAUGCUAGGUAUCUCAACUUCAAACCAACACCAAGCAAAAUUUCUGCUUCAUGACUUCAUGGAAAUAAUAUAUUGAGGUUGUCAUCACAAGUGCAUCGCAAAGCACUAAAUAAAAACAACUGCAAUCAUUUGAUAUCUAAUUACAUGCCUCUACUUCUCCAGAAGAUUCCUAAUACGUUCGUCAUGAGGACUCCCAUGAACAAUAAUAGACUUGCACACAAUUAUAUACUUAUAUUCUAGCAAAAUAUCUUUACUCAUCCAAACUUUUCUAAAUCUUCCCUAUCUCCCGAGAAUGGGGGCAUAUAUACACAGAAACAUUUUUACCAACCACUUCACACUACUACAUCAGCAGCAUGAUUGAUUCCCAGCUCAAGAACAUAAGUUGCGCUAAAGACUACGUGAUCAUUUAUCCGCACCAUUAAGAACCUUGACCUUCAAGUUCUACGAUCGUAAUCAAACUUUCUCCAACCAUUUCCCUGAGCAUCCUACCAACCACUCAUCGGGGAUCAUCAUUAAAGUUCAUAUUCAAAAACACUAAAAAAUCAAACAACAUAGUUCAGACCCCGAAAACAAAGUUAAAUCCUUUUUCCUCAUUCACGAUUGUUAUACUGGACUUGAACAAAUGUAUACAUUAAAACAAACAUAACUCGAACUGUCAAUUCAAUGUCCCCAUUAAUUAAAUCCCCAAACUUUUUUCAACAACACGGUCGCAUAAUUAGCAGUUUUAAAAUAUGAAUACAAUAUUCACAAUUGCAGGGAAAUUAUAACGAAAAUUCAAAGUAACUGAGUCAUUAUGAUAUUACCGAGCACAGGGCCAAUCUUCUGCAUCAGCUGGACAAAUCCCAUAGAUUUUUAUUGGAUUGUAACUUGAAUUGAGGAAAAUCAAACCCCCAAGAAAAUUAAUUUAAUGAAAAAAGCUUAAAAUUCUUCUAAUUUGCACCAAAUGAUCAAAUCCCAAAUCAUCCAAAACCAGUAAAAAUCGAAUUUUGCAUCAAAAAAUGUAAAAAGUAUGAGAAAUCCAAAAAUGGGCAUUGACGAUUGAAUUGAAGGCAUCGAUUUUAGUGGAGGACGAUGAAGAAGAAGAAGAAAAGGGUACCUCGUGAGUAGCACGUGCAGAGGAGCCACCACAGACGAAAGAGGAGAGUAUGGAACGACUGGCGGUGCGAUUGACUCGGGGCCGAGAUGGGCGCGAGCCCAGUCGACUGCUGCUCGAACCCAUUUGAGAGAGAGAGAGAGGAAGGAGAGAGAGAGAGAGAGAGAGAGAGAGAGAGAGCGCUUCAGAGAUGGUGAUGAAUGAUGAUAAUUGAAGCAAACCGGCUGAGAGAGAGAGAGCUUUCCAUUUUUCCUUUUUUAUUUCAAAUUCAAUUUUCAUUGUGAACUAAUGGUUUCUACAGUGGACCAGGCUUGACCGACCCAUCAAAUAUAUGGGUCUGGAUCAUCAAGUUUCGGCCCAAUGUAUUCAGUAAAAAACAAAGCUAAGAGCAACUCCAUAUUUAAAAAAUGAGAUGACUCAAAGUCCAUUUAAUCCACCAAAAUGAAUAGUAAUUGACUUUAAUGAACAAUAAUUGUCCAAGUGCAUCAAUUCCUAAAAAAUGAGCUGGGUAAGAGUUUAGUCAAUUCGUAUUAAAAUAUUAUUAAUUUUUUUUAUAAAAAAUUAAAAAAUAAUUUUAUUUUUAAUUUCGGAUAGAAUUUUUAACCUCUUGUCACGUUACGUGUCAUUUUCCGAAAGUACAAUUUUUGUGAAAGAUGGUUAGGUAUAUAUAUAUAUGUAUAUAAUCUUUUAUUUUUUUCUGUAUUUUUAAACAAAUUUUUAUAAUUUUUUAUUAAGUUAAUUAAUCUGGAUCAUUGGAUUUCAAAAAAUAAAAAAAUCCAAUAGCCUAAAAAUGGACAUGUGACCCAUGGUAAGAUUCUGAUAUUUUUUUUAAUGCUGGAACGCACACCUACGCAAGCGUGUAUCCCACGGGCCAACAGCAAAAAAAAAAAUUCACAUGGCUGACGUCAGCUUGGCCUCAUGUAGGCCGGUCUAUUGCUCAGUCCAUUAUGUGUUGGGCUCAAAGGUGGCCUCCACUUUGGGCCAACCUAUUGGGUGGGGUGAAGUUGGUUUUUUUUUUUUUUGGGGGGGGGGGGGCAGCCUAAAAAUUAGACUUUGAGCUAGCACAUUUGUUAGGGAUGAAAUGCUCUAAUAGAAAAAAUGUUAGGCUUAUCAUAUUUUUAAUAUUUCAUGUGUAUAACAUUUUUAAUAAAUAUGGGAUCUACAGUGUUAUUUGCACACUAAUUUUUAUCUCUCACAUAUUCUUGUUAAUUUUUAUUGACUCAUCUUCUUCAAUUCAUAUUGUCGACCGAAAAUUAAGAGGAGUGCGUGAGAAGAAAAAUGAGUGUGUAGAUAACGCUAUUGUAUAAAAAAUUUGAUAAAUAUAGUAUUUACUCUUAUGAUAGAGAUAGGGUUACGUGUUUGGUAUAUAUACGAGUACAAUGAAGCCAUGACAUUUGUAGUGGUGAUUGGUUACAUUGGUAUACUUGAGAUGUGAGGCAAAUUUAUUACCAUCACAAAGAUAAUUAUGAAACUUAUGGGCCUUCUAUUUUACUAAAAAUUGACCUCCAUCGUCCAUAUAUGAAACUUAAACUUGGAGAAAGAUCGUAUACGUUUUAUGAAAGGUUUUUUUAUCUGACAUGGAAUGAGAUAUGGUUUUCUUAACUAAGAUGUGAAAGACAAAAUUAUUCCCAUCACAAAGAUAAUUAUGGAACAUGGGCCUUAUAUUCUACUAAAAUUUGACAUAUUAACUACAUUUUACUAGAAAGAUGUACAUAAAGUUAUACCCAUUUUGGGAAAGUUAUCUAAUUUGACAGAGAAAAUCGAUAAUUUCAAAUGUGUCAAGACGUGUGAUUAUCUCUGUUUAAUUAUAAAUUGGAGGUAGAGAAAAAUGGCAGCACUUUAAUUGUAGUGUGUUUGAAUAGUUGAUCAAGGUAUCGGCAGAGAAAUAUCGAGUUGAAUUGUAGGUAUUCAACUACCAGCAAGACAACCAUGGAUCCAUGGGUGUGACUAGCAGUUGGUGCAUAUGAUGGACACGUUUUACCACUAACAGACGAAACACCAUGUCUGUAUCUACAUAGCUUUCUAUCCUUUCUCCACGUACUUCUGCACCCCAUUAACAAAAAGGCAAAUUAAAAUAUAUUAUACAAAAGUAGACCUAACUUUAAUGCUUUAUCCACUCCUAUAAAAUCUACAUAAUCGUCGAGUUCCAACACACUUCAGAACAAUAUAUCCACUUAUAGUUGCAGGGAACUAAGAAAAAAAAGAAGAUCGACUGAGAAACAUGCCUGACCAUCCACCACCACCACCGGGCCAUGAUCACGGACCCCCUCAUCCUGAGCCUCCUCCGCCGCACGCCCAUGCUCCUCCUCCUCCUCAGCCGGGCGGUGGACCUCACGCACCUCCCCCUGGCCCUCCUGAACCACACAAGCCACAUCAUGAUCCCCAUCAUGGUCCCCAUCAUGGUCCUGGUCAUCACCACCCAUGAAUCAUCAUUCAUCGUAUGAUGAAUAUAUACAUGCUUGCAUGCAUGUAUGUAGAUGUAUGGUGUACGUUGUGAUGUAAUUUCUAGUUUUAACUAAGUCGGUGAGUCCUCUCAUGAUCAUGCAGUUUUAAUGAAUGAUGACUUCGUGUACCCAAAAAGUAUGCAUGAUUAUGUAAAUUAAUAAGAUCGGUUUGUGGUUUUAAUUUCCUCUUAAUUAAUUAGUUAAUUUGGUACGCACUGAGCUGCUGAUCAAAGUGUGGUUUAAGAUGCAAAAUUUCCAUUCCUUUCAUGUUUUAAUUAAGAUGCAAAUCUAAUUACAAACAAAUACGCUGCAACUAACUAAAAACCCUACGUGCAGCAGGCCAUGGAUAAUUUUUGGUCUUUAAUUCGAUCUUUUACUUUAGAUAAAUGUCUAAUUUAAUUGCUGCAAAAGCUAGCUUCUGAAGUAUGAUCAGUGUUAAGAAACAAAUAAAAUUAAGAUAUAUAUCAUCAUUAUAAUUAAAUUUUCUGAUGUAGGAGAACAAAUGAAAUAUGCGUAUAUUGUCGGUGCGUAAUCCGCACUAAUAAUACAACGUUAAAUAAAAAUAUGUAUGUAUUAUUGUAUUAUACAAAUGUAAUGCCACAGUAAGGUUAUUUCCAACCGAAUGAGGGCCAAAAUGCUAUCUUUAGCUCUAUAGUCUUGCAAGAAAUUAUAUUUUAAUGAAUAGUGCUAUGCUAUAUUUUAUACAUCUCAAACUGAGAGGAUCAAAAGACAAUAGGCCAAACAUAGCCCUUUGAAAAAAACUAUCUCCAACUGAGGGAACCAAAAGAUCAUAGGCCAAACAUAAUUUAUUAUUUUAAUUAAAUUAAACUACUAUAUUUAAAAAAGGUUUUCAGACAUAUUUUGAGUCACUUGUCGUCAAAUGAAUAAGCCUCCGGAUUUCUUAUCUAUAUAUAAUCUCAAUAAUUUUUUUGGAUAGAAUUUCGAGUAACACGUGUAGCUAACAUGAGGAACUCUUCAAAUUUUUUAUCUUUAUGUAAUCGCAAUAAUUUUUCGGAUAGGAUUUCGAAUGACAUUUGUCGCUAAAGUGAGUAACUAUCCAUAUUUCUUAUCUUUAUGUAAUCUUAAUAAUUUUUCGGAUAUGAUUUCGAGUGCCACGUGUCGAGUGUUGUGCUAGGAUAGCACCAAACCUUAUGGAACCAACUCAAGCUAACCCACAUGAAAUAUAUCAAAUGGAAUGCAAGAACAAAAUAUAAAAGAACACCAAGAUUUUAACGAGGUUCCUCAACAGUCAGUGUAGCUGGAGUACGUCCUCGGAGCAGUAUGAGCUCACCCAAUAAUCCACUAUCAACCAAAUGGGAGUUUACAAAGUGUUGGCAAUCUCACAACCCAAAUAACCUAAUACACCCAAUAGCUCACACACACCAAAAAAACAAAUAGAGGAAGAAAUAUAAUGAAUAAUUUCUUCUCUAUACAUAUAGCUCAAAGCUAUUACAACAACUACUUUGAUAGAUGAUUACUAACCAAAGAGACGAGCACUUUAUUUUCUCUGAGGAGCUACGGCACCUUUUAUCUGUUGCUCUGCUGCUCUCUGCUCUCUGCUCUCUGCUCUCUUCUCUCUUCUCUCUGCACUCAGAAUGGGUUUUUCACUCUCUUCAAAACCGAACUAUUUUUCCACACAAGAACCAACAACUUUCUUAUCACCAAAGAAUAAUGCUCCAUCCGAGGCUAGCCUUUUAAAAUUCCACAAAUCAAUAAGAAACAUAAUUAUAAUGUCUCCCCAUUUUUUAUUUUUUUAUUAGCCAAAAGAUAUAUAAUAAUUUGGCCCUUUUUUCUUUUGUUUUGUUUAAUAGCUAAAAGGUGAUGUUGAGUUGCCACUUGGCCACAAUUCAACAUCGAGAUGUAAUUGGUUGUGCAAAUUUUAGAUAGGAUUCGUAUCUACAUGACACUUCUUAUCUUCAGCUUUUAAUGUUGUAGAAAUGAUGUAGGUAUUUAUAGGAAAAAAUUAGAUUUUUUUUUAAAUUCGUCAAAAAAAAAAAAAAUCAAAUUCCAACGGUAACCUGACGACAACAUGAUGUUAGCUAGCCGUUGCUAACUGGCGUCAUGCUGCCGCCAAGUAGCCGAACUAGAGAGCUGGCAAAAUGUCAAAUUUGACAUUCUAGCAUUGGAGGACUGGCAAAAUGUCAAGCUUGACAUUCUGACGCUGGAGGGUUGGGCUAGAGGGCUGGCUGGCUAACUAGAAAUGGCCAGCUCGCUGGCUUGAUUUGGGGGUUUGGGUGGGGCCUACAAGCCAUUUGACCUAACCCUCGGUUGGAGACGAUUUUCGUGUCAUUCUUAGCUAUUUUUAGCUCUAUGAUCCUUUAACCGGGUCGGUUGGUGGAGAUGACCUAACUACAAACUCGUAACAUAAAAUCCGUUUCUCGACUUGUAGAUGUGGGCUUAUGAAUCUUGUGGUUGCCCUAAUUCAGAGGAAUGACUACACACAAUGAAAUAAGACGGGAACAAAAAUCUUCUCUGCGUGAUACACAUGAUUAACUUGCAACAUAACACCGACCAGAAAAUAAAAAAGAAUCGAUCCCCACCACUUUUAUCAUUGUUCUUUUAGAUGGAUAACAUUUCAUAUAAAAUAUGAAAGAUCUUUUAUUUUUUAUGUGGCGCCUGUCGCGACGAAGAAAUGUGGCUACCAGCAAGCACGUGAAGAUAAUGUACGUGGACGUUGAUCUUUUACUUUUUGUACCGACACCAUUGCACUAUAAAAUCCCACUACUUUCUUCAACAGUUUCGCCAGAUCAAUAAAAAAACAAGAGAGUAGCUAGCUAGAUCGAAGAAUUACAAGUCUCUGUGUAACUGCUGCAAAUUAAGAAGAUUGUCGAAAAUGCACCAACCUCCAGGCCCUCCGCCACCGCAUGACCACGGACCACCGCACCACGGGCCACCUCACGAUGGUCCGCCACCACCUGGCGGCCCUCCAGGUCCCGGCCCUCACGGCCAUGGACCUCCAGGCGGUCCAGGUCCCCAUGGACCUCCAGGCGGUCCGGGAGGACCAGGGCAUCACGGCCACGGGUGUGGAGGUGGACCGGGUGGUCGCUGCUAAGUGCUAACUAAUGAUCUUGACCAAGAACUUUCUGGUGUACUACUUGUGGUUUAAUAUGUGCUAAUCAUGUUUUCUAGUUUAUUAGUUUACUAAUCAUGUUCAAGAUCACCACCAGACUAGCUCAGCUCAGCUGGAGAGGAUCAUGUAUCUGUCCGUAAUGGUACUAUGUUGAAUAUGCUGCGUAUUAUGAUAUCAAUAAAAUGCAUCUCCAUAUUAUAAUUAUACAUCUUUGAUCAUUCUUAAUUAAUUGAUUGGAUUAUAUUGAUAGGUAAAAAUUACUAGAAACAAUUUUGACGCGCUAAGAAUAUCCGCUCGUAUUUGAGGAGAGAAAUUUACACGCAAUCAAUAAUAAGAAGAUGGUUUUUUAAUCCUAAGAUGCGUCAUUAUAUAUUUUAACUUACUCACGUAACAUUGCGUAAAUGGUUUGAUAUAACGUCAAUUUCGCAGCUUAGUGGCAUGACAUGUAAGUUCUUUUCAUAUUACUCAAAGUUCAACUCCAAUUUCGGUUUCGAACCGCUUCUAUAGAAAGCUUUUUUUUUUUUUAAAUUUUAUUUGAACAAACCUUAUUAUCUAUAAUAAAGGGUAGGAGAAUGAGUUAAGUCUCACAAUCGACUAGCAAUAAUGUGGUUCAAAUUCGCAUUUGAUGAGAAUCGAACCUAAGAUCUCUAUUUACAAGUAAAGAAUAACACCACUAAACUGUAAUAUUAAGUGAUUGCUUCUAUUGAAAGCAUUAACCUUUAACAAACACUUAUACGAUCCAUAAACACUUUUAAGUUUUUAUGACCAACCAAAUUGGUUUCGCAUAAAUAGCCAUUCGGGCGCCCUAAUUUUAAUAUUUUUUAAUUAACAAGAAAAAAAAAAGUUAUGUACAUUCAUAGCUAUU